CACUGUAAGGUAUACUACACCUGUUGUAUUCAGCAUUUCACUGUGAGGUCUACUACACCUGUUGUAUUCAGCAUUUCACUGUGAGGUCUACUACACCUGUUGUAUUCAGCAUUUCACUGUAAGGUCUACUACACCUGUUGUAUUCAUCAUUUCACUGUGAGGUCUACUACACCUGUUGUAUUCAGCAUUUCACUGUAAGGUCUACUACACCUGUUGUAUUCAGCAUUUCACUGUAAGGUCUACUACACCUGUUGUAUUCAGCAUUUCACUGUCAGGUCUACUACACCUGUUGUAUUCAGCAUUUCACUGUAAGGUCUACUACACCUGUUGUAUUCAGCAUUUCACUGUAAGGUCUACUACACCUGUUGUAUUCAGCAUUUCACUGUAAGGUCUACUACACCUGUUGUAUUCAUCAUUUCACUGUCAGGUCUACUACACCUGUUGUAUUCAGCAUUUCACUGUAAGGUCUACUACACCUGUUGUAUUCAGCAUUUCACUGUAAGGUCUACUACACCUGUUGUAUUCAGCAUUUCACUGUGAGGUCUACUACACCUGUUGUAUUCAGCAUUUCACUGUGAGGUCUACUACACCUGUUGUAUUCAGCAUUUCACUGUGAGGUCUACUACACCUGUUGUAUUCAGCAUUUCACUGUAAGGUCUACUACACCUGUUGUAUUCAGCAUUUCACUGUGAGGUCUACUACACCUGUUGUAUUCAGCAUUUCACUGUGAGGUCUACUACACCUGUUGUAUUCAGCAUUUCACUGUAAGGUCUACUACACCUGUUGUAUUCAGCAUUUCACUGUAAGGUCUACUACACCUGUUGUAUUCAGCAUUUCACUGUAAGGUCUACUACACCUGUUGUAUUCAGCAUUUCACUGUAAGGUCUACUACACCUGUUGUAUUCAGUAUUUCACUGUGAUGUCUACUACACCUGUUGUAUUCAGCAU